rnacentral:lncRNA from 10 species
AUCAGCUUGAUUGGAGAGGAGAAGGCUGCCAGUGGCCACAGGGGUGCAGCCUGUCCCCUGCAUGGUCCCCACGAUGCAUCAAGAGCUGGGAGCAUCUAGGGGCAAAAUAAGAAAUGAGGCCGGGACUGAGCUCUUCAUUUGCCAAUUUUGACCUGCAAAGCCUGGGGCUGCUUCCCCCUAGCACAGGGGACGGACAGCCUGAAGGACUGUGGGGACAUGCAUCAUGUCAGGUUUCCUUGGGUCCAGGGAGCAGCUCGGCUGACCGGCAGAUGAGGUCAUGGUCACCCCGCUGCUGGCUAACUGCAGCUACUUCUGCCAGCCAGUGGACUACAGAUGGAGAAAGCAUGGAAUGAGGGUAUGGCAGGGAGCAGGAAGCAAGCCUGGAGAGGGUUAGGAGGAACAACUUCAUAACAAUCGGAGGUCAAGGAGGCAUCUUCCUGGAGACAGGAAGGUAGGCACUGUGGAAUCAGCGGUGCGUAGAACAGUGAGGAUUUGGGGCUGAACCCAGCCCAGGUGGGCCAAGCCGUGGCACCAGCCGGACUGCAGUCUGAUGGAACUUCCCCUUCCUGCCCAGCAGAUGGCGAGCGUGUGCUGCUGGUGCCUCUUUCCAAAGGACGUUGAAUUGCUUGACAGGUGUUCUUUACUUUAUGAAUGAAGCCAGAGCAGCCCACCUUCCUGCAUCUCUACCACCAUGGCACCAUGCCCUGUGAUGGGUGGGCUGGAGUCAAAUAUGUAGCAGGCAGCCAGGGUCAGUUUGUGGCCACUGCUGCCCCCUCUUCCUACAGUCUCCUCACUGAGUGCCCCUUCCCUGUUGGGUUCAACACAUCUGUGCUCCUGUAAGCCCUCAGCCUCCUCGUUCUCUUCCUCAACUUCUACCACCAGACACAUCUGAGAAGCAAGCAAGAGAGGCUGAACUAGGAGCAGGACCCAGGGACUGAAACCAGCACAGCAUCCCCACAGAGAAUUGGGUGGAAGGCAGCAUGGCUUCCAGCUUACUGGUGCUGAGCAGAUUGCUCUGGGUCUCCAUUGUAUCCUCUGAAGGAAGGAGGAGGAUUGCCUUCUGUCCAGAUCUCAGGAUCAAACAAAUAGGUCCAAUUUCCUGUGCUCACUUCAGUUAGAGCACUUCUCAUGUGACUUUGUAGCUUUGUGUGCAUCUCCUUCCUCUACUAGACCUAAGCCCCUCACGGGAGGGACUCUCUUAUUCUUGAUGUUCCCCACACCUGGAAUUUCAAUAAACAUCUCAA